GCGAGGAAAACAAAAAGGAAAGUUAGGACUUAAAGUCCUCGAGGUUUUUCAGCGUUGAAACAUGAAACAGCAGAACCAAAGAGACACGAGCCGCUCUGCAGGUGAAGCUGCAGGUUGAAGCUGUUGCGUCACAGACUCGGUCUGCAGGACGCGGACAAACUGGACCUGCAGCUCUUUUCCUGUUUGUUUCCCUUCAGAUCGACAUCAUGGCUGAGACGCGCGGAGCGACGGCGCGGGGCAGGAAGAAAUGGGCCGUUCCACAGAGGACCGCAGCUGAGGAAAAUAAAACAAGUGUUCGUCCUCCUGACAGAGACGCUGAGAGAAAUCUGGCGGUUCCUUUCAGAGGUCACAUCACAGACGGGAUGCGGCCGGGGAAGAAGGUCGUACUGGUGGGUGUUGUGGACUCCUGUCCUGACAGGUAAAAAUAUGUUCACAUAACUUAUUUUUUUAUUUAUUUUUUUAAAUGAAUCCAUCCCCUUCUCCUCAGUAUCAACACAUCACUAUUAACGGGAUAUUCAUGGUCCCCAGAGAAUAAAUUUAAAACGACAACAAAGACACAAAAUUGCUACAAAACCACAAAAAACAUCACAACAAAGGGACAGAAAACAACCACAAAAAGUAAACUGAUCUCAAAACAAUUACAUGGAGUGACAAUACAGUCUCAAACAGACACACAAAAACAACACAAAAUGUCCUCGAAAACAAAAAAAUAACCACAAAAUCACA